rnacentral:tRNA from 1 species
GAGGCUCUAGCUCGGCGGUAGAGCGCGUGCUUAGCGUGCACGGGUCCUGGGUUCAAUCCCCGGUGCCUCU